AGUUGCGCACUGCACGACACAGACGCAGACACACACACACAUUGCGCAGCGGCUCAUGAAGAGGAAAGCCAACCCAACAGAGGCGGUGCCGCUGCCGACCUGCACGGCGGUAGGGCCAGAGGACAUGGUGCUGGUCGCGUGCACGUCGGGCGAGACGUUCCUCGUGGAGCGUAACUGCGCCAUCAUUAGCGACCACUGUCGUGACCUGUUGCAAGUCUGGGAAGGCGCCGUGCGCCGCAUCGUGCUGCAAAGUCGAAACGAGGAGAGCACCAUGAGCGACGGCACGACAGCGGAGAUGACCGCAGUGCAUUGCAUGGAAGCAGACUCACACAGCCGAGACGCUGGUGGCCCGCUUGCCACCGACCCAACCGUGAUAACCUUCAUGCCGUUCACGGACGUCGAUGAUGCCUCGCCUCUCGAGACACUGCGCCACAUCCCAGUCACUCUAGUCGCGGAGCACUACCAGAAGCGCCUGAGAGCCGCGGAGGCCAUCUCGCCAAGCAAGGCAGACCGUCCGUCGUCGAAGCAGGUGUCCAGCUAUGGCGACCGCAAGGGGGCGCCAGUCAUCGUCCCAAAGCCCAUCAGCCCGCUGGCGCCCAUGGAGAGUGUCGAUGGGACACCGAUGUACCCGGUCGUGGUGAUACCCUACAUGACCCCGGAGCUCAUGGAGGCGGCGCUAUCGUACGCGCAUAGAAAGUACAGAAUCGACAUGGACGGCGAGAAGCCGGGAGCGGAGUCGGCUGCGCCGAUCACCGUUGCCUCAGCAGAGGGCCGCUGGCGACUGAUAGCGGCCUCUGUGCUGUCCGGCAUGUGAAGGAACCGUGCAAGAUGCGCCCUCUGCGGCACGGUGUCACGGUCGCCGUCACCCUUGCAUCCACUGACAUGUACAUUACCAGGAAACCUCUAUCCACGCGUGGGCGUCACUUUCCGCAACCCCCUCCCCCACCUAGUCGUCCUAUGUCUCUUCGUGGAAGACUACGCAGCACAGUGCGCUGUAGAGAGAAAGCGAGGGAUGUGGGCCCUGCAGUGCCACGUUUCGUGCCGACUUCCCCGCGGUAGCUGGCGCACUUGGUAUUGUCGCUCACAGUCGACGUAUGGGGGGGGGCGUCACAGUAGACGGUCACAGCUAUCAGACGCGUCUGAUAUUCCUUUCCCCACCUCUCACCCCAAACCGUCGAUUUUCGCCUCGAGAGCUGCGCGUUGACUCUCUAUUCUCUUCGUUCCCUUUCGCACCGCAG
rnacentral:misc_RNA from 1 species